rnacentral:rRNA from 1 species
ACCAGACUCCUACGGGAGGCAGCAGUGGGGGAUAUUGCACAAUGGGGGGAACCCUGAUGCAGCGACGCCGCGUGGGUGAAGAAGUAUUUCGGUAUGUAAGGCCCUAUCGGCAGGGAAGAAAUUGGACGGUACCUGACUAAGAAGCCCCGGCUAACUACGUGCCAGCAGCCGCGGUAAUACGUAGGGGGCAAGCGUUAUCCGGAUUCACUGGGUGUAAAGGGAGCGUAGACGGCCAUGCAAGCCUGGAGUGAAAGCCCGGGGCCCAACCCCGGGACUGCUCUGGGAACUGUGCGGCUGGAGUGCGGGAGGGGCAGGCGGAAUUCCUGGUGUAGCGGUGAAAUGCGUAGAUAUCAGGAGGAACACCGGCGGCGAAGGCGGCCUGCUGGACCGCGACUGACGUUGAGGCUCGAAAGCGUGGGGAGCAAACAGGAUUAGAUACCCCUGUAA